rnacentral:misc_RNA from 1 species
GCGGGUUCCCGCCAUUUGUAAACAUUCGCAUCAUGGCUGACAUGAACGUGAAAUUCAUUUCUCAGAAAAUCAGCAAAAUCCGAUGGAAACCCGUCGGGGCUUCGUCGCUCCAGAAGCCGAAUCUGUUCGUCACGGGCAGCUGGGACGACGAGCAAAGUAAGUUGUCGUUUUGGACAUUUGGUCAACAUGACAUCGACUACGAUCUCUACACGAUGGACACUGAGACCGCUGCAGUGGACAUGGAACCGCAACUCCUCGCAGACAUCACACAUGUUGGUGAUGUGACAGAUUUAAAGUAUCUUGACCAGCAGCAAGUUGUGGCUUCCUCCUCAAAGGGUUCCGUUGGAAUUUUUAAACAUAACCAAAACACACAGGCUGUGGAAUGUGUACAGACAUGGAAGAACCUUCAUGGCUAUAAUUUGAUAUCCUGUCCCUGUACGUGCGUUGGACAUAGAGAAGAUGUCUUAGUGACCGGCGGCGAAGAUGGCAAAAUUUGUGUUUUAAACUUAGAGAAGAAAAACAUCACCAAAUGCAUUGACAAAGCAGAUAGCUGCACCAUUAAUAGUAUCACAUUCCUGCGACAGAACGAGAUCCUCAUCACAAAUUCCACAGGACAGCUGAAGAUUUUCGACUUGCGAGCCAACCCCUCGGAAACGCCACAGACGUUGUUCCUGUCUGGAGAACAAGUGUCUUUGAUGUGUGCAGCGAAGCAUCCGAGCCAACAGCAUCUCGUUGCCACGGGGACAGUUGAUGGCAGUCUUUGUCUCUGGGAUCUCCGGCAGAAAACAAACCCAGUCACAUUGCUUGGAGGUCACACAGGACCACUGUGGGAAGUGAAAUUCCACUCAGCCUAUCCCAACCAUUUAUUCACUUGCUCCGAAGAUGGUUCCCUGUGGCAUUGGGAUAAUUCUACUGCUGCUUCGUCUUUCCCAUACUUGUCGUCUCCUUCAGUGAAGCCCUCUCUUGGUGGAACAAGUCGUAAGACAAUGGACAUCGGUAACUCUGGUUUGUUGGGGUCAGUAACCAACAACCCUUGGAGCCUCAAUGCAUCUGACCGACACAAGAUCGAGAUCACAUCCCUGCUGGAAGGGGGCAGCCACUGCCUCUCCAUAAACUCGCUGGACGUCGAGGAGGAAACCAUACUGUGUGGCGGCGACAAUGAAUCCAUCUACACGAUUCCUUUGCCGAAUCUUAGAUAAGGGUUGGUGUCGGGGCCAGAGGAAGGAACUUGUAUCAGGAUGGGAAGGGGGGGAAGUCACUGUAUUGAUAGGGUGGACGAGUGGGGUGUGGACGUGUUAUAGGGUUUUGUUGAGGGUGGACAAAUGGGGUGUGUGCAUAUUAUAAGGUUUGUCUAUUGAUAGGGUGGACGAGUGGGGUGUGGACGUGUUAUAGGGUUUUGUUGAGGGUGGACAAAUGGGGUGUGUGCAUAUUAUAAGGUUUGUCUAUUGAUAGGGUGGACGAGUGGGGUGUGCCUGUUAUAGGGUUUUGUUGAGGGUGGACGAAUGGGGUGUGUGCAUAUUAUAAGGUUUGUCUAUUGAUAGGGUGGACGAGUGGGGUGUGCCUGUUAUAGGGUUUUGUUGAGGGUGGACGAAUGGGGUGUGUGCAUGUUAUAGGGUUUUGUUGAGGGUGGACGAAUGGGGUGUGUGCAUGUUAUAGGGUUUUGUUGAGGGUGGAUGAAUGGGGUGUGUGCAUGUUAUAGGGUUUUGUUGAGGGUGGAUGAAUGGGGUGUGCACAUGUUAUAGGGUUUUGUUGAGGGUGGAUGAGUGGGGUGUGUGAUGGGAUUUGUCCCCUUGCUCCCUGACCUAGCAAUGGGUGAGGAGAAUGUCUUGCAUUCUUAUUAUAGAUGCAGGUCUGGCUGUGUGGUUAAGCAGCUUGCUUUGCAACCAAGUAGUUGCAGGUUCAGUUCUAUUGCACAGCACCUUGGGCAAGUGUUUUUCUCUUUCCUUGCUAUAGCCCCAAGCUGACCAAUGCCUUGUGAGUGAAUUUGGUAGACAGAAAGUCUGUGGAUACCUGCUCAGUGUGUAUAUAUGUGUGUGUCUGUCCAAUACCUUAUUGCGUGACAGCUGGUGUUGGUUUAUUUACAUCCAUAUAACUCAGUGACUUGGUAAAUUGAAACUAAAAACAAAAAUAUGUACUGGGGUCGACUUGUUUGAUUAAACUCUUCAAAGCAGUGCCCCAGCAUGGCCACAAGUAACUGAAACAAGUAACAGAAAAGAUACAAGAUACAUUUGAAUUAUGGUUUAAAAAUGAAAACCUUUCAAAAUCUAGUCCCCAAGUUCAAAACCUGAUACAUACAGUGAUGGGGUAUUGAGGCCAAUGAUACGUAAUGGGAGGAGGUUGAUUUCAUCUUUUGGUUAGUUUAGCACCCCCACCCCCUGGGCAGGGGGCUUUUUAGCUGAAUAUAACCCUGUUGCAAGUAUUUGAGGUUAGGAGGGUGACCGAGUAACUUUAUCUUACAAAGUUACCAGGUGACCCUGCCAAUGCAGGUGCCACUUCAAAAGCAUCCAGUGAACUCUGUUACGGGGUUGGCAUCCAGCUGUAAGAACCUUGCCAAAACUGACCCUUGCCUAUGUGGGUGCCAUGUAAAAACCACUCAGCCCAUUCUACAGGGUAGUUGGUGUUAGGAGGGGCAUCCAGCCAUAAAAAAAAACCUCUUCCAUUAUAUAUAUAUAUAUAUAUAUAUAUAUAGGCGCAGGAGUGGCUGGGUGGUAAGUAGCUUGCUUACGAACCACAUGGUUCCGGGUUCAAUCCCACUGAAGUAUGGUGCAAGCUUCUUCCUGGUCAGCUCCUAUUAAGCCCUCCAACCCAUGCCAGCAUGGAAAGAGGACAUUAAAUGAUGAUGAAUCCUGACUGAGAAUAUUGAUUUGCUUGAUCAUGGCUAACUCAGGGCUAAGUAACAGCUAUGUAGCUCCGCAACUCAAGGAAAUACUUAUCACUGUGGUUUCCACCAAUAGUUUAGUGCCUUGGCUACAGACACAACACUGCCACUGACUGAGGACUGAACAAUUAAUGAUGGACGUGUGUAGCUGAACGGUUACGAAGUCUGCAUUGCAAGCAAAUCUCUGGUUAUGUUCCACUGUACGCAGCACGUUUGACAAAUGUCUUGUACUGACCAUUAAAUAACCCAUGGGUCUUGCUCCAAACCUUGUAACUGAAAUUGGAUCGAUGGGCACAGUGUGGAAACCCUUCCACUUGAACAUGCACUGAUCUUCCUCCCUAGAACCCUUUUUCUCAAUCCUUCCACCUUCCUGGCAUUUCACUUCACUGCCUAUGUCCCUCUCCCACUGUUAUUGUUCAAGAACUUCUACUGCAUCGGACACACUGGAAGUCUUGGAGGAGGUCUGCAAAGGAUAAAAGCAUAAACCCCUUCCUCUGGAAGAGAAAAAGGACUGAACAAGAAUUUUUUUUUUUUUGUAAAAUAUUAAUUUUAUUUCAUUGAAGAAUUGAAAAAAAAAAAAAAAA